UGCACCUGAUUGAUUUUGGUCGCCAACGAGUGGCGGACGGGUGAGUAACACGUAGGUAACCUGCCCAGAAGCGGGGGACAACAUUUGGAAACAGAUGCUAAUACCGCAUAACAGCGUUGUUCGCAUGAACAACGCUUAAAAGAUGGCUUCUCGCUAUCACUUCUGGAUGGACCUGCGGUGCAUUAGCUUGUUGGUGGGGUAACGGCCUACCAAGGCGAUGAUGCAUAGCCGAGUUGAGAGACUGAUCGGCCACAAUGGGACUGAGACACGGCCCAUACUCCUACGGGAGGCAGCAGUAGGGAAUCUUCCACAAUGGGCGCAAGCCUGAUGGAGCAACACCGCGUGAGUGAAGAAGGGUUUCGGCUCGUAAAGCUCUGUUGUUAAAGAAGAACACGUAUGAGAGUAACUGUUCAUACGUUGACGGUAUUUAACCAGAAAGUCACGGCUAACUACGUGCCAGCAGCCGCGGUAAUACGUAGGUGGCAAGCGUUAUCCGGAUUUAUUGGGCGUAAAGAGAGUGCAGGCGGUUUUCUAAGUCUGAUGUGAAAGCCUUCGGCUUAACCGGAGAAGUGCAUCGGAAACUGGAUAACUUGAGUGCAGAAGAGGGUAGUGGAACUCCAUGUGUAGCGGUGGAAUGCGUAGAUAUAUGGAAGAACACCAGUGGCGAAGGCGGCUACCUGGUCUGCAACUGACGCUGAGACUCGAAAGCAUGGGUAGCGAACAGGAUUAGAUACCCUGGUAGUCCAUGCCGUAAACGAUGAGUGCUAGGUGUUGGAGGGUUUCCGCCCUUCAGUGCCGGAGCUAACGCAUUAAGCACUCCGCCUGGGGAGUACGACCGCAAGGUUGAAACUCAAAGGAAUUGACGGGGGCCCGCACAAGCGGUGGAGCAUGUGGUUUAAUUCGAAGCUACGCGAAGAACCUUACCAGGUCUUGACAUCUUGCGCCAACCCUAGAGAUAGGGCGUUUCCUUCGGGAACGCAAUGACAGGUGGUGCAUGGUCGUCGUCAGCUCGUGUCGUGAGAUGUUGGGUUAAGUCCCGCAACGAGCGCAACCCUUGUUACUAGUUGCCAGCAUUAAGUUGGGCACUCUAGUGAGACUGCCGGUGACAAACCGGAGGAAGGUGGGGACGACGUCAGAUCAUCAUGCCCCUUAUGACCUGGGCUACACACGUGCUACAAUGGACGGUACAACGAGUCGCGAACUCGCGAGGGCAAGCAAAUCUCUUAAAACCGUUCUCAGUUCGGACUGCAGGCUGCAACUCGCCUGCACGAAGUCGGAAUCGCUAGUAAUCGCGGAUCAGCAUGCCGCGGUGAAUACGUUCCCGGGCCUUGUACACACCGCCCGUCACACCAUGAGAGUUUGUAACACC
rnacentral:rRNA from 2 species